ensembl:lncRNA
ACAUCUUUACCUGCACAUGAGGAAAAUCACUCCUGUAGAAUGCAGAUGUUCAGAGGGAGAUGAUGCCACAUCUGGUCCAGCUGAUGGAAGGUCUUGAAGUUCUCUGACUGGCCUCGACUGAAGAUGGUCGUCUCACUGGAUUUAAGGUUCAGAUGCUCAGUAACAAACUCCACCAAUGAGCCAACAGGGAAGCUUUAGGUUUAUUAAAUGUUGCUAUGAAGGUAUCGCUGUUUUUCUUUGUGAAUGCAAUGUGCUCCAACUGAAAGUUGAAUUAGAACUUAGCAGUAAAUCCUUCCAUCUGUAAGGAUUUAGUUGCAUUAAUAACCUCAUAACAUUCAAAUUUUUAUUCCAGUCUUGGUUGGAAAUAGAAUCUCUGUAUUGAUUCAGGUAAAAACUGAACUUCACAGCAUGUUGGAGCAAAACAACCAGAUGAAAACUGUGAUGGUGUUGGAUUGUCAGACCGUAAUGUUGCAGCUCAAAGCAGCUUUUCUAUCUCAGUUCAUUCUGACAUUCAGCUAUGAAUCAACACAGCAGAUGGUGAUCCAUGCUGUGGAAGUCUCACAUCUCCUGAUUUAAUGGAGCUGCUUUGCACUUUUUACACUGUUUAUUCACCAACACUUUAUUUAAUAAAAGUCCCAUCUAGUUUUUAUGAGGAAUGUGAUGUUUUAAUUUCUCUGUGAAUAACUGCAGUCUAAUGUAACAGCUGGAAUUGUAACAUCUGUCCUGAUAUUGAUCAUGAAGUAUUGAUCAGAAUACUUAUGGUCAGCAGUCAUCCCUGAAGUUUUACAUUGAAAUCUUUACUUGUGUUGUGAACUUUGGUAAGAAGCAGAAACGUUAGCGUUGCCAUGGAUACAUGAGUGUUAAAUUCUGUCCAUGUUUCCAUUUUGGGAAAUGCAGUCCAGUUCCAGAAUGUGGAGGAAUUUAGUCUCACAAUCACAGACAACAAAUAUUAUCUGAAAGUCGGGUUAUUGUUGUUUAUCAGCACAAUACAAAAAGAUUAAUGUUAGAAAUAUUCCAGUUAAGACUCUAGAACAUCAUGAUUUAUGUAAAUUUACUUCAAUAAUAUGAAUGUUCAGGUUAAGAUUGUACAGUGAUAUUUAUUAUGUAAGUUUAGCUGAUUAAAGUUUAGGACUCUGCACUAAAAUAUUAUUUAAAUUGACAUUAUUAUUUUUAUAAUAUUUAGGGUCAGACCCUACAGUAUUGAGAUUAAGAAAUCAAACAUUCUAUAAAAUGUAAAUACACUGAACUCAUUUGGAUAUAUUUAAGUGAGACUCUACAAUAUUAUUUGACACAAAUCAAAAUUUUAAUAAUUUUCAUGCCAAACAUUUACUGGACUGAUUUAAAUAUUAAAAUCACUCCUUUCUAAUCUUCUGCUGUACGUUCAAACCUUAGGCCUUAAAUAGAAACACACAAGUAUCUGAUUGAAGGAACUUCUGCAGAGUCCUGGUUCCAGAACAUGAUGAUAGAAUUAUAGACAAACUUUAACAAAAGCUGCCUGAGAGUUUACAGGUUUUUAUGUUAGAUUUCUUCAGUAAUUUAAUGAGCGUUAUCAGCAAAAAUCAAGUGUUUAUUUGAUGAACUUCAUUUCCUAAAACAUCCAGAAUUGGAGCUCAUAUCUUUGGCAGCUGUAAAGUUUCUGCUCCUUCAAAGUUCACAACACAAUGAAUGAAUUCCUAAAACACUCUCAAUGCUGGAGAGCGUUUGUGAUGCUGAAGCAGUGACCAGUUUUUCUGUUUCUUCUUUGGAGAUGCACAAUGAGGGACGUCUGCAGAGACUGAGAAAGAGUCUCACCACAUCCUGACAUGAGGAAAAAGACUUUAUUGAAGACUACAAUGAGAAAAACUAUCAGACAGCAGACGGCUGCAUUCAAGUCUGUAGCUGCUGAAUUCAUGGAUGAAUCAUCUGGCACUAGAUGAAGAAGACCAUCAAACAUCCACGUCAGCUGAUGGAGGUCCAAGAGUCUCACCAAACAAACAACCUACAGAGUGAAGACCUCAAAUCUGAUUGGACGGCCUCCUAUUCAGCCACAUGUGUGAACAAAUGCCUCUAAGCUGAUUUGUUUUCUAAAAUAAAUCUAGUUUGAG